UACGAAGGGGGCUAGCGUUGUUCGGAAUCACUGGGCGUAAAGCGCACGAGGCGGAUCUUUAAGUCAGAGGUGAAAUCCCAAGGCUCAACCUUGGAACUGCCUUUGAUACUGGGGAUCUUGAGUCCGGGAGAGGUGAGUGGAACUGCGAGUGUAGAGGUGAAAUUCGUAGAUAAUUCGCAAGAACACCAGUGGCGAAGGCGGCUCA
rnacentral:rRNA from 1 species